AGUUCGAGGCAACCAGCGGCUCGCGGAAAUUGGCCUGCUGCAUCGGAUCGAAAUAGCCGGUGGGGCUCGCCAUCAUCAAAGUGAAGGUGCGGGUCGAGCUCAGCCACUGCAGGAAGAGGAAUGCGGCUUCGGCGUUCGGCGACUUGGACGAGAUCCAGCCGCUGAUGCUGUAAUGCAGGAUCGACCGGCGGUUGAUCUUGUCGCCGAACCGGCGACCGACGGGAGCAUGCG
rnacentral:ncRNA from 1 species